UACAGAGGUGGCAAGCGUUGUUCGGAAUUACUGGGCGUAAAGGGCGCGUAGGCGGUUCGUUAAGUCCUGUGUGAAAUCCCCCGGCUCAACUGGGGAACUGCACAGGAAACUAGCGGGCUUGAGUUCGGGAGAGGGAUGCAGAAUUCCAGGUGUAGCGGUGAAAUGCGUAGAUAUCUGGAGGAAUACCGGUGGCGAAGGCGGCAUCCUGGACCGACAUUGACGCUGAUGAGCGAAAGCUAGGGGAGCAAACGGG
rnacentral:rRNA from 1 species